GCUUGUCUCAAAGAUUAAGCCAUGCAUGUCUAAGUACAAGCCUCAGUAAGGUGAAACCGCGAAUGGCUCAUUAAAUCACACCUAAUCUACUGGAAAGUUACUAGUUACUUGGAUAACUGAGGUAAUUCUUGAGCUAAUACAUGCGAAAAAUCUCGACUCACGGAGAGAUGCUUUUAUUAGAUCAAAACCAAUGCCUCGUGCUUUUGGUGAGUCAUGAUAACUGCGCGGAUCGCAUGGCCUUGCGCCGGCGACGCUUCAUUCAAAUUUCUGCCCUAUCAACUUUCGAUGGUAAGAUAGAGGCUUACCAUGGUGUUAACGGGUAACGGGGAAUUGGGGUUCGAUUCCGGAGAGGGAGCCUGAGAAAUGGCUACCACUUCCAAGGAAGGCAGCAGG
rnacentral:rRNA from 1 species